rnacentral:rRNA from 1 species
UGUGAGCUCGAUGAGUAGGGCGGGACACGUGGUAUCCUGUCUGAAUAUGGGGGGACCAUCCUCCAAGGCUAAAUACUCCUGACUGACCGAUAGUGAACCAGUACCGUGAGGGAAAGGCGAAAAGAACCCCGGCGAGGGGAGUGAAAAAGAACCUGAAACCGUGUACGUACAAGCAGUGGGAGCACGCUUCGGCGUGUGACUGCGUACCUUUUGUAUAAUGGGUCAGCGACUUAUAUUCUGUAGCAAGGUUAACCGAAUAGGGGAGCCGAAGGGAAACCGAGUCUUAACUGGGCGUUAAGUUGCAGGGUAUAGACCCGAAACCCGGUGAUCUAGCCAUGGGCAGGUUGAAGGUUGGGUAACACUAACUGGAGGACCGAACCGACUAAUGUUGAAAAAUUAGCGGAUGACUUGUGGCUGGGGGUGAAAGGCCAAUCAAACCGGGAGAUAGCUGGUUCUCCCCGAAAGCUAUUUAGGUAGCGCCUCGUGAAUUCAUCUCCGGGGGUAGAGCACUGUUUCGGCAAGGGGGUCAUCCCGACUUACCAACCCGAUGCAAACUGCGAAUACCGGAGAAUGUUAUCACGGGAGACACACGGCGGGUGCUAACGUCCGUCGUGAAGAGGGAAACAACCCAGACCGCCAGCUAAGGUCCCAAAGUCAUGGUUAAGUGGGAAACGAUGUGGGAAGGCCCAGACAGCCAGGAUGUUGGCUUAGAAGCAGCCAUCAUUUAAAGAAAGCGUAAUAGCUCACUGGUCGAGUCGGCCUGCGCGGAAGAUGUAACGGGGCUAAACCAUGCACCGAAGCUGCGGCAGCGACGCUGAUGCGUUGUUGGGUAGGGGAGCGUUCUGUAAGCCUGCGAAGGUGUGCUGUGAGGCAUGCUGGAGGUAUCAGAAGUGCGAAUGCUGACAUAAGUAACGAUAAAGCGGGUGAAAAGCCCGCUCGCCGGAAGACCAAGGGUUCCUGUCCAACGUUAAUCGGGGCAGGGUGAGUCGACCCCUAAGGCGAGGCCGAAAGGCGUAGUCGAUGGGAAACAGGUUAAUAUUCCUGUACUUGGUGUUACUGCGAAGGGGGGACGGAGAAGGCUAUGUUGGCCGGGCGACGGUUGUCCCGGUUUAAGCGUGUAGGCUGGUUUUCCAGGCAAAUCCGGAAAAUCAAGGCUGAGGCGUGAUGACGAGGCACUACGGUGCUGAAGCAACAAAUGCCCUGCUUCCAGGAAAAGCCUCUAAGCAUCAGGUAACAUCAAAUCGUACCCCAAACCGACACAGGUGGUCAGGUAGAGAAUACCAAGGCGCUUGAGAGAACUCGGGUGAAGGAACUAGGCAAAAUGGUGCCGUAACUUCGGGAGAAGGCACGCUGAUAUGUAGGUGAGGUCCCUCGCGGAUGGAGCUGAAAUCAGUCGAAGAUACCAGCUGGCUGCAACUGUUUAUUAAAAACACAGCACUGUGCAAACACGAAAGUGGACGUAUACGGUGUGACGCCUGCCCGGUGCCGGAAGGUUAAUUGAUGGGGUCAGCGCAAGCGAAGCUCUUGAUCGAAGCCCCGGUAAACGGCGGCCGUAACUAUAACGGUCCUAAGGUAGCGAAAUUCCUUGUCGGGUAAGUUCCGACCUGCACGAAUGGCGUAAUGAUGGCCAGGCUGUCUCCACCCGAGACUCAGUGAAAUUGAACUCGCUGUGAAGAUGCAGUGUACCCGCGGCAAGACGGAAAGACCCCGUGAACCUUUACUAUAGCUUGACACUGAACAUUGAGCCUUGAUGUGUAGGAUAGGUGGGAGGCUUUGAAGUGUGGACGCCAGUCUGCAUGGAGCCGACCUUGAAAUACCACCCUUUAAUGUUUGAUGUUCUAACGUUGACCCGUAAUCCGGGUUGCGGACAGUGUCUGGUGGGUAGUUUGACUGGGGCGGUCUCCUCCUAAAGAGUAACGGAGGAGCACGAAGGUUGGCUAAUCCUGGUCGGACAUCAGGAGGUUAGUGCAAUGGCAUAAGCCAGCUUGACUGCGAGCGUGACGGCGCGAGCAGGUGCGAAAGCAGGUCAUAGUGAUCCGGUGGUUCUGAAUGGAAGGGCCAUCGCUCAACGGAUAAAAGGUACUCCGGGGAUAACAGGCUGAUACCGCCCAAGAGUUCAUAUCGACGGCGGUGUUUGGCACCUCGAUGUCGGCUCAUCACAUCCUGGGGCUGAAGUAGGUCCCAAGGGUAUGGCUGUUCGCCAUUUAAAGUGGUACGCGAGCUGGGUUUAGAACGUCGUGAGACAGUUCGGUCCCUAUCUGCCGUGGGCGCUGGAGAACUGAGGGGGGCUGCUCCUAGUACGAGAGGACCGGAGUGGACGCAUCACUGGUGUUCGGGUUGUCAUGCCAAUGGCACUGCCCGGUAGCUAAAUGCGGAAGAGAUAAGUGCUGAAAGCAUCUAAGCACGAAACUUGCCCCGAGAUGAGUUCUCCCUGAC